rnacentral:lncRNA from 1 species
ACAGGGAAGAGAAGGGCUCUCCUCAAGCGGGUGGAAGGAGGGAGGCCUCCCGAGGGAAUGAGACUCCAGGCCACUCCCCCGCAGCAAGGCAGGAUCACCUGCGUCGCGGAGAGCAGUUAGAGGUCCCUGGAGUGGAAAAGGGCAGUGGGACCUGGUAGCUUGGGUUCCCUGCAACUUGGGGUUCGACCUCCAGGCAAUGAAGUAGGGAUGGUCCUGCAAGUCAAGAUUCCAGUAGCAAGAGUGCAUCAGAUCUCUGUAAGGAAAAUAACUAACAUUGCUCAGUUCCCUGUAGAGUUGCAGGGCGCUUUGACGUUAUCUCCCUUGGUUCUCCAUCAGGUCGUAGUGGACUAAUUUUACAGGCGAAGUUAAGUGACUUACCCAAAACCUCACAGCUAAUAAACGGCAGAGCCGGCACCCAGCUGUACUGGCUUCCAGCGCAUCCCAUUAUCUCCAUAAAUCCCCCUGAUUCAACUAAUAUUAGACGCCCCACAGGUAAGAUGCUUCAGAGUUAGAGGGGAGUUGAAGAUACCUUUGCCUUCAAAGAAGUAAGGAAUGAAACAAAGAUAAAACAGACAAUAAAAGACAAACCAUGAUAGGUGCCACGUGAAAAGUGGCAGAGUACUGCCGGGAAUCAAAGAACCGUGUAUAUCUGUCUUGGGGAUAAGGAAAGAAACGCAGCAUGAAGGAGUAGGCAUUUGGGAUUGACCUUGAAGGAGACAGGGAGAGUUUUACAGCAAGAAGGGAUAGCAUGAGAAUAUAUAUGAAGGCGAAUCAGUGAAAGUUGUGUUGGGGAAAGAGCAAAGACUCCAGGUAUGUUGAGAGGUAGAAAAGACAAAGGAGUAUGGGGCCUAAGAUACCAAAUGGAUGAAUUUAUAUUUAAUUCAGUAUUUUGAGUUUUUAUGGUUCAGAAGUUUGGGGGAAGAAAAGGAAGGUUUUUUUUUUCUUUAUGCUAGUGAUUUAUCUGUGAAGGGAAGCAGAAAUCAGAGGUGGAAAAACUGACAGAUCUACUGUAGGCCAGGUAAAAGGUAAUGAUGAGUCUGACCUAAAGGGACAGCCAGGGGAAUUUAAAGAGCAUAGUUGAGAGAUGAUGUGCAUGCAGAAUCUAUAGAAUUUGCUAACUGAUUGAUUAAUUGUGGGUAGGAAGAGAGAAAUCAAAGAAAGUGGAGGUUUUGAGUUUCUAGAUAAUUGCAAGAGAGAAAAGAGACAAUUACAAAGGAAAGGAGAAGGAGCUACUUCUUGAGAGAAGAUCAGUUUAGAUUUAGACAUUUUAAGAAUUCAAAGGGUUGUCAAGACAGCCAGACGGACAUGGACACUAAUAAGUUAGAAAUAAAGGUUUUGUAAUAUGGGAAAGAGGACUGAGCUAGAAAAUAGACUCAUAGAUAAUCAGCCUAGGAGUGAUAUUGCUGUGAGAUAAAAGAAGAAAACAAAGUCAGAAUCUUGGAAAACACCCUCUUCAGAGUCUCGCUGCUCAAAACGUGGUCAGUGGCCCAGCAGCACUGACAUGAGGACCUUAGUUGGAAACUCAGAAUCUCAGGCUCCACCCCAGACCUGCUGAACCAGCAUCUUCAACUUAACAAGAACCCGAAGAGAUUUGUGCCACAUCAAAAAGUUUGAGAAGCUCUGAUCUAGCUGGACCCUGGACACGGUGACUCUGAUUCAAUUAUGCAGAUGACCACAAGCCUCUGGGGUUGGCAGAGCCACAAGAAAGAAGGUGCCUGGAUGAAGGAGAGCUACCCACUGACCUGGACACCCAAUUAUUCAUCUGUCUUAGAGCUAUUGGAAUCCUGGAUCAUUGUGGGAAAUGAAAAAUACUUCGAUGGAAUCAGCAGCCAUUGAUCCAAUGCCAACUCCAAGACUGGAACGUCGCAAUGAUAGUUCCAAGGCGGAAAUUUGACGUAAUUCUUUUCGACACAGUUUUACAGGUCUGGAUGCCCAUUUUAAUUCUUCUGAAAGCAUGCCUCCUUCUGGCUUCAGGACUC